rnacentral:rRNA from 1 species
GAUGAACGCUGGCGGCGUGCCUAAUACAUGCAAGUCGAGCGCGAGAAUGAGGCGCUUGCUCCUCAUAAUCGAGCGGCGGACGGGUGAGUAACACGUAGGCAACCUACCCUUGAGAUUGGGAUAACUACCGGAAACGGUAGCUAAUACCGGAUACGACUUUUCCACACAAGUGGAAUCGUUAAAAGGCGGAUUUAUCUGCCGCUCAUGGAUGGGCCUGCGGUGCAUUAGCUAGUUGGUGAGGUAGUGGCUCACCAAGGCGACGACGCAUAGCCGACCUGAGAGGGUGAUCGGCCACACUGGGACUGAGACACGGCCCAGACUCCUACGGGAGGCAGCAGUAGGGAAUCUUCCGCAAUGGACGCAAGUCUGACGGAGCAACGCCGCGUGAGUGAUGAAGGGUUUCGGCUCGUAAAACUCUGUUGUUAAGGAGGAACACUUGAGGUAGUAACUGGCCUUGAGAUGACGGUACUUAACCAGAAAGCCACGGCUAACUACGUGCCAGCCGCCGCGGUAA